rnacentral:tRNA from 1 species
UAGUUCAGCUGGUUAGAAUGCCGCCCUGUCACGGCGGAGGUCGCGGGUUCGAGCCCCG